rnacentral:rRNA from 1 species
GUCCUGGCUCAGGAUGAACGCUGGCGGCGUGCCUAACACAUGCAAGUCGAGCGAAGCGCUUUGCUUAGAUUCUUCGGAUGAAGAGGAUUGUGACUGAGCGGCGGACGGGGUGAAGGUAACGCGUGGGUAACCUGCCUCAUACAGGGGGAUAACAGUUAGAAAUGACUGCUAAUACCGCAUAAGACCACAGCACCGCAUGGUGCGGGGGUAAAAACUCCGGUGGUAUGAGAUGGACCCGCGU